rnacentral:lncRNA from 1 species
CGCCUCUGUUAUCUAUAGCCAUACCUACAUCUGCAUCUAUAUCCGUCUCUUGUUGAAACCCACACUAGAAGGGGACUGUGUCUGUGAGCUCCUUAAAGAAAGAGUCUUACUGCUUCCCGUAUCUCACCCACCAGGGAGCAGGUAUGGCUGCCCAAAGGUUGGGCCUGGAGAGGACUGAGAUCUGUAGUUGGUAGAUCCAGAACAAAUGAUAGGAUUUUCUGGCUACAUUUGGUUCAGGAGUGGAUUGGUGGAAAGCAAGACAGUGUCUGGGAUCAGGGAUCAUUCUUGCAUGAAGGUCUACACAGUCACAGGCUCCAGACUCAGCUCUGCCGACGGACUGGAGACCACUUCUCCUACUUCGUCAGAGGGCCUCUGACACCACGUUGUAAGAAAAGGUCAGACUCAGCUCCCGAGGAGGCUACAGUGACAGCUGUGAUUGUCAUGGGCCUGUGGAUGCUUCCACUUUGCUCAUUCAAUCACUCAUUCAUUUCUUCAUUCAACAAAUGUUUAUUGAAUGUCUACUACGUGCCAAGGACUGGUUCAAAAUACUGGUGACAGAAUGAUAGAAAUUUAUUGAGCCGUUUCCUCAAUGCCUGGAAUGGGGCUGAAGGUGAGGAAUGGGGUAAAUGAUAGUGAUGAAUACGACCAGUCCUGGCAGUGCUUCUCAGACUUUUCCAUGAACCACUCUGAUGGUUAAGGACACUGAAGGAGAAUGGGAGACCUGCACUUCAAUUUUUAUUUACUUUUAUGUGUUCCUGGCGUAGGGCCACAAGGUUUUCCAUCAACAGAAAUGGCUGCUGAUUGAAGCUUUCUGCCCAGCACUGGAGAGAGACCCAUUCUCCAAAGCAGAUUGAUCAUUUCUCCUGCCGAUAAAGGGACAGUAUUCUACCCAGUGGGUUUGGCCCCUGACCUAAGAAAUAUAUGGAUGCAUCAAAAUUCCCUGAGCUGACAACUUGGAUGAACUCUGGAGGCUGUAAAUCUGCAAAGGCAGAGAGGGGCCAGGCAGGCCUGUGCGAGAGGGCUCUCCCCUCAUUUAGUGUGCAUCAACCACCAUGAUGGCCGAGCAAUUCCUUGUCUGCUUUUUACCCAACAUAAUUUGCAAAUUGAUUGUUCUUCCUUGGAAGUCUUUCUUAAUUAAAUAGUAACUGCAGUUACUACCCUCAGACAAAGGGGACAUGUUAGUGUCCUGGCAGAGCACAGCCUUAGCUCAGUGAAUUUACGUUUGCUGAAGUGCCCAUCAUGGACUCAUGUGCAGAACUCUACUGCAUGGCUCCUUCUAGAGGAAUGAGACUGCACUCCUUGCCCACAAAGAGCCAGAAUAAGCCCUUUACCACUGGGGCAAAGAGCUCUAAACAGAGACAAAUGGAUGCCCUCUGGGCCCACACUUGAUUCCAGGGACUGUGGGAGAAUCAGCCUUGACUGUCGUUGACUGCGUGCCUAUGUGCCUGGCACUGUGUUGGGCCCUUUCACACGAACCAUCUCAUUUAAUCUUCAUAACCCAAAGAAGGAGGGGCAGUUAUAUCUAUUUUCCAAAGAAGCAACUGAAGGUCAGCAACUUGCUCAACAUCAUGUAGCUAGUAAGGAGCUUGAGCCUUGGGCAGACUCCAUCCACACCUCCUGUGCCCCCUGCAUGCCCUGCCACAAGCUGAGUGUGAAACCCUUCCACUUCAUGCUGCUGUUUUAGAGUCCCUGUGAGUUGGUGUAGUCAUGAUGAAAACUAUCCUUGAACUCAAAUUACUGCUGCUUUUGUGGCUGCUGCUUGUGAUCUGGCCGUGAUUGACUUGAU